rnacentral:tRNA from 1 species
AUUUUCAUUAUUUUUGUAAAGGUCUCCUGAAUAGUAAAAUGUUUGGUUCGGGUUUAUGAAUGGAA